rnacentral:rRNA from 1 species
GGAAUAUUGCGCAAUGGGCGAAAGCCUGACGCAGCGACGCCGCGUGGGGGAUGAAGGUCUUCGGAUUGUAAACCCCUUUCGGCAGGGAAGAUGGAGCGGGCAACCGCUCGGACGGUACCUGCAGAAGCAGCCACGGCUAACUUCGUGCCAGCAGCCGCGGUAAUACGAAGGUGGCAAGCGUUGUUCGGAUUUACUGGGCGUACAGGGAGCGUAGGCGGUUGGGUAAGCCCUCCGUGAAAUCUCCGGGCCUAACCCGGAAAGUGCGGAGGGGACUGCUCAGCUAGAGGAUGGGAGAGGAGCGCGGAAUUCCCGGUGUAGCGGAGAAAUGCGUAGAGAUCGGGAGGAAGGCCGGUGGCGAAGGCGGCGCUCUGGAACAUUUCUGACGCUGAGGCUCGAAAGCGUGGGGAGCAAAC